AACGAACGCUGGCGGCGUGGAUAAGACAUGCAAGUCGAACGCUGGUUUGAGGGUAGCAAUAUCACCAAACCGGAGUGGCGCAAGGGUGCGUAACACGUGGGCAAUCUACCGCAAAGACUGGAAUAACCUGCUGAAAAGUGGGCUAAUGCCGGAUGUUGUUUUCGAGGGGCAUCCCUUGAAACCAAAAGUUGGGGACCGAAAGGCCUAAACGCUUUGCGAUGAGCCCGCGGCCUAUCAGCUAGUUGGCGAGGUAAUGGCUCACCAAGGCUAAGACGGGUAGCUGGUCUGAGAGGACGACCAGCCACACUGGAACUGAGACACGGUCCAGACACCUACGGGUGGCAGCAGUCGAGAAUUUUUUCACAAUGGGGGAAACCCUGAUGGAGCGACGCCGCGUGGGGGAUGAAGGGCUUCGGCU
rnacentral:rRNA from 1 species